rnacentral:hammerhead_ribozyme from 1 species
AUCCAGCUGACGAGUCCCAAAUAGGAUGAAACACGAGUCAAACUGGAU